GUUGACGCUGGCGGCGUGCCUAACACAUGCAAGUCGAACGAGUGGCGGACGGGUGAGUAAUGUGUGGGAAACCACCUGAUUGAGGGGGAUUACUACUUGGAACGGUAGCUGAUAACCGAUACCCACAGAUCUGCCCAUAUGGGAUUGGCUAGUAGGUCGGGUAAAGGCUCGCCUAGGCGACGCUCGCCAGCUGGUCUGAGAGGAUGACCAGCCACACUGGAACUGAGACACGGCCCCGACUCCUACGGGAGGCAGCAGUGGGGAAUAUUGCACAAUGGGCGAAAGCCUGAUGCAGCCAUGCCGCGUGUAUGAAGAAGGCCUUAGGGUUGUAAAGUACUUUCAGCGGGGAGGCGUUACCCGCAGAAGAAGCACCGGCUAACUCCGUGCCAGCAGCCGCGGUAAUUC
rnacentral:rRNA from 1 species